CCUCCCUCAGCUCUCCUGGAUCGUACAGGCCCUGUGUACACUUGGUAUGUCUUUUUUAAGGGAGAAAGGUUAAGGCCCUCACUGUGUAUGGCAGACCUGCCCAAAGUACCCUCUCACUUCCUAGGAGUCUGACAGCU
rnacentral:snoRNA from 1 species